rnacentral:misc_RNA from 1 species
GGGGGAUGCCGAAGGCAGGGCUGGUGACUGGGGUGAAGUCGUAACAAGGUAGCCGUACCGGAAGGUGUGGCUGGAUCACCUCCUUUUUAGGGAGACCUACCCAACAGUUGUUAGUAAUGUAGCAAUUGUCAGGUCAACCAAGGUCGUUGGAGACGAGAUGUGAGGCUUUCAAACUAUAGUUCGGUUCAGUGCAAACCGAGUUGGGGCUAUUAGCUCAGGUGGUUAGAGCGCACCCCUGAUAAGGGUGAGGUCCCUGGUUCGAGUCCAGGAUGGCCCACCUGAAAAAAGUAAGUCACAGCAAUAGGGAAAGAUUAGUUGAUAUAGGAGUCAAGUUUGACUCAAGUAACUAAUUUUAAGAUAUUGACGUCUCCGGAUGGAAGUGAUAAGCUAGAAAAGUUGAGAAAAAUUCAGCACUGAGGCUAAAGCCGAGCUGCUGGAGGAAUUCCAGCCAGAACCUUGAAAACUGCAUAAUCAUGCCAAUUAAUAUAAUUGCAGGUAGGUCAAAGUAACUGAUGAARKCAURAGUCAGUUAAAUUCCUAUAAGCCUAAAUAAAAGCUACAGACACAAGACAAAAAGUGGUCAAGCUAAUUA